rnacentral:rRNA from 1 species
UAUAGAUGGAUCCGCGCUGCAUUAGCUAGUUGGUAAGGUAACGGCUUACCAAGGCAACGAUGCAUAGCCGACCUGAGAGGGUGAUCGGCCACACUGGAACUGAGACACGGUCCAGACUCCUACGGGAGGCAGCAGUAGGGAAUCUUCCGCAAUGGGCGAAAGCCUGACGGAGCAACGCCGCGUGAGUGAUGAAGGUCUUCGGAUCGUAAAACUCUGUUAUUAGGGAAGAACAUAUGUGUAAGUAACUGUGCACAUCUUGACGGUACCUAAUCAGAAAGCCACGGCUAACUACGUGCCAGCAGCCGCGGUAAUACGUAGGUGGCAAGCGUUAUCCGGAAUUAUUGGGCGUAAAGCGCGCGUAGGCGGUUUUUUAAGUCUGAUGUGAAAGCCCACGGCUCAACCGUGGAGGGUCAUUGGAAACUGGAAAACUUGAGUG